UAUGUCUAUGGCAAAUCAAAAGAGAAAUGAGGCGACCAUCAAGGAUCUUGAAAUUUUAAUGAAAUUUUAACUAGGAGUUGUAAAGAAGUGGGAAAAGGAAUUGGUGAUGAGGUUGAAAGAGAGGAAGUUGUGAUAGAAGAAGAGAAAGAAGUUGAGAGCUAAGUAUAACAAAAAAAUAAAUAUGAGGUAUUAGUUGAAAAUGAGAACAUUGAAAGUGAGGAUCUAGAAAAGAAAAAAAAGUGAUGAAAAGAAGAAGAAAGCUCGAGAGGAGAAAAGGAAACUGAAGAGU
rnacentral:lncRNA from 1 species